GACGAACGCUGGCGGCGUGCUUAACACAUGCAAGUCGAACGGUGAACCUCUUCGGAGGGGAUCAGUGGUGAACGGGUGCGUAACACGUGGGCAACCUGCCCCCGGCGCUGGGAUAACUCGAAGAAAUUGGGGCUAAUACCGGAUGUUCACCGCUUCCCGCAUGGGUGGUGGUGAAAAGGGUUUCCGGCUGGGGAUGGGCCCGGGGCCUAUCGGCUUGUUGGUGGGGUAGUGGCCUACCAAGGCGACGACGGGUAGCCGGCAUGGGAGGGUGACCGGCCACACUAGUACUGAGGGACGGACCAGUCUGCUACGGGGGGCAACGGUGGGGAGUAUUGCGCAAUGGUCGGGCGCCUGACGCGGCGACGCCGCGUGGGGGAAGACGGCCUUCGGGUUGAAAACCUCUUUCAGCAGAGACGAAGCGCGAGUGACGGUACCUGAAGAAGAAGCACCGGCUAACUACGUG
rnacentral:rRNA from 1 species